CAGGGUGUCCAUGUUGAACAGAGACUUUCUCGUAGCCGAUGGUUGCCCUUCAAGCACCAACAAAUUGGAAAUUCCAAGCCCUGCUGAGAUUACGAGCAGGGUGGAAAGGGAAUCAACACCAUCACACCAAAGCAUUUAAGACCCUAGCAGAGCCUGAACCUUCUUCAGCAAAUAAGGGUCACCGAGUUCCUAUAGUCAGUCACUGGACCACAAUGCUUGAUAUCCUUCAAUGGACACCGGAAGUAAUAUGAGCUACAGAUGUGCGUCUCAAUGGGGUUAUUUCUUUCCUUAACAAGUUACAGUACAUUAGCAAAGGUAAAGUGAACACACAACUUGAUUUUAUGGUUCUUAGAAUGUCACUUAACUAUGUUUUAGGCUAAGUAGAAGCAGCGUUGGCACUGAAGAGUAUCAGUUUAUCUUUAAGAUAUCUCUGAAAUUUUGGAGAGUCUGAUGUGUUACGAAUUAUUGUUGUAUAUAAGGAGAAUAGUAGGAGAAGAUCUGCACUUGUGUA